ACUCUACCACUACACUAUACCACUAUACCACUACACUAUACCAGUAAACCACUACACUCUACCACUACACUAUACCACUACACUAGUCCACUACACUAAACCACUACAGACAUACUGUUGCAUAAUCUGGACCCACAUACUGCUAUCAUAUCGAACACAAUGCCAAGCAAUUAAUCAAUUAUUCUACUCAUCAUGGUUUACUAGGAGAGUUAUGCUCUUAAUCCCUUAUUCUACUCAUCAUGGUUUACUAGGAGAGUUAUGCUCUUAAUCCCUUAUUCUACUCAUCAUGGUUUACUAGGAGAGUUAUGCUCUUAAUCCCUUAUUCUACUCAUCAUGGUUUACUAGGAGAGUUAUGCUCUUAAUCCCUUAUUCUACUCAUCAUGGUUUACUAGGAGAGUUAUGCUCUUAAUCCCUUAUUCUACUCAUCAUGGUUUACUAGGAGAAGUUAUGCUCUUAUUGUUUUCAUCUCAACACAAACUAUAAUAUGAGAGCUAUAAUAUGGAUAUAGUCAUAGAAAUAUAAUUUCUAGAAAGGGCUUGGAGCCUCUAACCCUGGCAAUUUGACAGGUAAACGUAUGGGUACUUUCCGUAUGUUUGACCUGGUAUUGCGAUGCAACCCCAAUCUACAGAUAUUAUUUCUAUGGGAAUAGUAUUGCCAUGUUUGCCUUGACUCUUUCUACGGUAUGAUAACACAGCUUCUACUUUCUUAAAACAGUCCUUUCUUUUGCUCCUCCAUGUUUCUAGAACUCCAGAUAGUCAUCACUGAUGAUUAGUUUCUGCCACCAACUCUGCAUCCCAAAUUGCACCCUAUUCCCUAUAAAGUGCACUACUUUUGACCAGAAACCAAAGGGCUCUGGGCCCUAUAGGGAACAGGGUACCAUUUGGAACAGGUAAACUCGACCGGGAACAUUUGGCAUUUACAUCAUUUUCUCACACAGGUCCAGAUGCUUUCUGUUGCUAAAAGGACAGCGAGGCCAAAUGCUAUGCAAAAUAAUGUCUCUACGCUAUGCCCACGGUAUUAGUACUGUAUGAGUACUGUAUUAGUACUAUAUGUCCACUGUAAUACUACUAUAUGACUACUGUAUUAGUACUAUAUGACUACUGUAUUAGUACUAUAUGACUACUGUAUUAGUACUACAUGACUACUGUAUUAGUACUAUAUGACCACUGUAUUAGUACUAUAUGACCACUGUAUUAAUACUAUAUGACUACUGUAUUAGUACUAUAUGACUACUGUAUUAGUACUAUAUGACUACUGUAUUAGUACUAUAUGACUACUGUAAUACUACUCUGACUACUGUAUUAGUACUAUAUGACUACUGUAUUAGUACUAUAUGACUACUGUAUUAAUACUCUAUGACCACUGUAAUACUACUCUGACUACUGUAUUAGUACUAUAUGACUACUGUAUUAAUACUCUAUGACUACUGUAAUACUACUCUGACUACUGUAUUAGUA